ACAGCAGGACGGUGGCCAUGGAAGUCGGAAUCCGCUAAGGAGUGUGUAACAACUCACCUGCCGAAGCAACUAGCUCUGAAAAUGGAUGGCGCUGGAGCGUCGUGCCUAUACUCGGCCGUCGACGGCAUAGUGGGGCCAGUCGUCGCUCGCGGCGGCCGGUCCCGGCAAGCCUCGACGAGUAGGAUGGCGCGGCGGUGUGCGUCGAAGGGCAGGUCGCGAGACCGCCUGGAGCCGCCGUCGGUGCAGAUCUUGGUGGUAGUAGCAAAUACUCGAGAGGGGCCCUCGGGGGCUGCCGUGGAGAAGGGUUUCUUGUGAACAGCCGUUGUCCAAGAGUCAGUCGAUCCUAAGCCCGGGGAGAGAUCCUCGUACCACGGGCGAAGGCGUUUUCGAAUCGCCCUUGGGGCGAGAGGGAAUCCGGUUCGUAUUCCGGAACCCGACGCGGAACCGCUCCCUAGUGUUCGGGGCUCUUUUGUCUCGUCUGGGUAACCAGAAUGAACUCGAAGAAGCCGCCGGGGGAUCUGGGUAGAGUUCUCUUUUCUCUGUGAGCGUUGUACGUCCCUGGAAUCCUCUAGCCGGGCGAUAGGGACGCGAGCGCGAAGAGCACCGCUCGUUGCGGCGGUGUCCGUGAUCCCCACGCGGACCUUGAAAAUUCGAGAGAGGGCCACGCGGAGUCUUCGCGUCGGUUCGUACCGAUAUCCCGCAGCAGGUCUCCGAGGUGAGCAGCCUCUAGCCGCAUAGAAUAAUGUAGGUAAGGGAAGUCGGCAAAACCGAUCCGUAACUUCGGGAUAAGGAUUGGCUCUGAGGAGCGUGGCUGCCGGGUUCGGGUCGUCGUAGAAGCGUAGGCGUUUUUGGCGACACCCCGGCCGUCGCCCGUGCGCCCGGUCUUCGGAACGGGAGCCUCGAGGCGGCCGCGGGCCCGUCGCCGUCCGCCGACCGUGGAACCACCGAGCUUCGGUCGCUGGCCGCGUCGCGGCCGGCCGACCGCCUUGGUGUCGGUUCGCCGUCACCGGGCGGUCCGGCCGCCGCGCCGUCGGUCGCGUAGCCGGAUCGACAGCCAUGUAACGGUCAACUCAGAACUGGCACGGACCAGGGGAAUCCGACUGUCUAAUUAAAACAAAGCAUCGCGAUGGCCCGGGACGGGUGUUGACGCGAUGUGAUUUCUGCCCAGUGCUCUGAAUGUCAACGUGAAGAAAUUCAAGCAAGCGCGGGUAAACGGCAGGAGUAACUAUGACUCUUUUA
rnacentral:ncRNA from 1 species